rnacentral:rRNA from 1 species
GACGAACGCUGGCGGCGUGCUUAACACAUGCAAGUCGAACGGAAAGGCCCUGCUUUUGUGGGGUGCUCGAGUGGCGAACGGGUGAGUAACACGUGAGUAACCUGCCCUUGACUUUGGGAUAACUUCAGGAAACUGGGGCUAAUACUGGAUAGGAGCUCCUGCUGCAUGGUGGGGGUUGGAAAGUUUCGGCGGUUGGGGAUGGACUCGCGGCUUAUCAGCUUGUUGGUGGGGUAGUGGCUUACCAAGGCUUUGACGGGUAGCCGGCCUGAGAGGGUGACCGGCCCCAUGUGGGCGAUGAGACACGCCAGAGCCCUAUGGGGGGGGGAGGAGUGGAAAAUAUUGCAAAGGGGGGAGGCGUGUGGCGGAGCCGCGCCGGGGGGGGUAUGGCCGUCUGGGUGUUGAAACCCGUUUGCGGGUGAGACGACGGGUGAGAGAGGGUUAGGGGAAAAGACACAGGCGAAAAACGU